ensembl:lncRNA
GGUAGGCAGGUGAAAGCAAGCUCUGCAGGGCGGGUUGUAGGGGGGUGUACCCUCCAGGGCUGAACUGUUCUAGAAGCCACCUCUAACCUUCUCAAAGGAGCCUACGGGAGCCGGAAAGAUGGACAUGAAAAAGCACCGCCUGGGUAAAGCGUGUGCGCUGCAGGUGGGACGGCGAGGGCUGCUGGGCCCGCCGCGUUUCUCUCCUGCUUUUAUUAUACUGGAAGAGACAGUUCAGGGAGGUUAUGAUGACUUGACUGUUCUCCCACAUUGAGUUUGACCACCCUCAUCGGCCAUCUCUGCACUGCAGCCAAAGUGAUCUUUAUAAGGUACGUCGGAGCCUUUUUGCACCUAGAACACUAGAAGCACUUCAGCACUACACUUGGGGCUCGUGUAAAACCAGCAGCUAAAAGCAUACAACUGUGAGAAAUGUGGCACGAAAUAAACCAUGAAAAGGACACUUGUUUACAGCAGGAGAGCUGAAGCAAGAAGGUAGAAUGUUGCCUUGUUCCACUUCAGCUGGAAAAGAGGGCACGGGGCAACCCAAAAUUUUCCCUGCUUUUCAAAUGUCAAUGAAUGAGACCGCAAGUGUGCUACAAGGAUUGAUUUUGGGGUUACAGAUAAAUUUUGGCAAAUAGAAUUGCAAUUAUGAAAUCCUAGAAUAAUGAAGAUCAAAUACAUAUAUAAUAACAAAAGAUAUACUGUAUAAAUGCAUUGUACAUAUA